UCCUACGGGACGCAGCAGUGGGGAAUAUUGCGCAAUGGGGGAAACCCUGACGCAGCAACGCCGCGUGAGUGAAGAAGGCCUUCGGGUUGUAAAGCUCUUUCCUCAGGGACGAAGAAUGACGGUACCUGAAGAAUAAGCUCCGGCUAACUACGUGCCAGCAGCCGCGGUAAUACGUAGGUGGCAAGCGUUAUCCGGAUUUAUUGGGUGUAAAGGGCGUGUAGGCGGGAUUGCAAGU
rnacentral:rRNA from 1 species